rnacentral:rRNA from 1 species
CAGCAGCCGCGGGAAUACGGAGGGGGCUAGCGUUGUCCGGAAUUACUGGGCGUAAAGCGCACGUAGGCGGCUUGGUAAGUUAGAGGUGAAAGCCUGGAGCUCAACUCCAGAAUUGCCUUUAAGACUGCCGAGCUAGCAGGUGAGAGAGGUAAGUGGAAUUCCGAGUGUAGAGGUGAAAUUCGUAGAUAUUCGGAAGAACACCAGUGGCGAAGGCGGCUUACUGGCUCAUACUGGACGCUGAGGUGCGAAAGCGUGGGGAGCAAACAGGAUUAGAUACCCCCGUAGUCCCUGUCUCUUAUAC